UACAGAGGUGGCAAGCGUUGUUCGGAAUUACUGGGCGUAAAGCGUGCGCAGGCGGUUUUGUAAGCCAGAUGUGAAAUCCCCGGGCUUAACCUGGGAAUGGCAUUUGGGACUGCAAGGCUGGAGUGUGGCAGAGGAGACUGGAAUUCCUGGUGUAGCAGUGAAAUGCGCAGAUAUCAGGAGGAACACCGGUGGCGAAGGCGGGUCUCUGGGCCGAUACUGACGCUGAGGAGCGAAAGCGUGGGGAGCGAACAGG
rnacentral:rRNA from 1 species